rnacentral:rRNA from 1 species
GGCCUAUCAAGCUUGUUGGUGAGGUAACGGCUCACCAAGGCAUCGCACGUGGUAGCUGGUCUGAGAGGAUGAUCAGCCACACUGGGACUGAGACACGGCCCAGACUCCUACGGGAGGCAGCAGUGGGGAAUAUUGCACAAUGGGCGAAAGCCUGAUGCAGCAACGCCGCGUGCGGGAAGAAGGCCCUAGGGUUGUAAACCGCUUUCAGCAGGGAAGAAACUGACGGUACCUGCAGAAGAAGGUGCGGCCAACUACGUGCCAGCAGCCGCGGUGACACGUAGGCACCAAGCGUUGUCCGGAUUUAUUGGGCGUAAAGAGCUCGUAGGCGGUUUGGUAAGUCGGGUGUGAAAACUCUGGGCUCAACCCAGAGACGCCACCCGAUACUGCUAUGACUUGAGUACGGUAGGGGAGCGGGGAAUUCCUGGUGUAGCGGUGAAAUGCGCAGAUAUCAGGAGGAACACCAGUGGCGAAGGCGCCGCUCUGGGCCGUAACUGACGCUGAGGAGCGAAAGCGUGGGUAGCAAACAGGAUUAGAUACCCUGGUAGUCCACGCCGUAAACGUUGGGCACUAGGUGUGGGUCUCAACCAACGAGAUCCGCGCCGUCGCUAACGCAUUAAGUGCCCCGCCUGGGGAGUACGGA